rnacentral:rRNA from 1 species
UACGGAGGGUGCAAGCGUUAUCCGGAUUCACUGGGUUUAAAGGGUGCGUAGGUGGGCUAGUAAGUCAGUGGUGAAAUCUCCGGGCUUAACCCGGAAACUGCCAUUGAUACUAUUAGUCUUGAAUACCAUGGAGGUGAGCGGAAUAUGUCAUGUAGCGGUGAAAUGCUUAGAUAUGACAUAGAACACCAAUUGCGAAGGCAGCUCGCUACGCGGUUAUUGACACUGAGGCACGAAAGCGUGGGAUCAAACAGG